rnacentral:rRNA from 1 species
CCUACGGGAGGCAGCAGUGGGGAAUAUUGCACAAUGGGGGAAACCCUGAUGCAGCGACGCCGCGUGAGUGAAGAAGUAUUUCGGUAUGUAACGCUCUAUCAGCAGGGAAGAAAUAGCGACCUUUGGGUCGCCAGACGGUACCUGAUUAAGAAGCCCCGGCUAACUACGUGCCAGCAGCCGCGGUAAUACGUAGGGGGCAAGCGUUAGCCGGAUUUACUGGGUGUAAAGGGUGCGUAGGUGGUUUAGUAAGUUGGCGGUGUAAUUCCGGGGCUCAAACUCGGCGCUACCGUCAAAACUAUUAGACUAGAGUGCAGGAGGGGUAAGUGGAAUUCGUAGUGUAGCGGUGGAAUGCGUAGAUAGUAGGAGGAACAUCAGGGGCGAAGGCGACUUACUGGACUGUAACUGACACUGAGGCACGAAAGCGUGGGGAGCAAACAGGAUUAGAUACCCGUGUAGUC